UAGGGAAUCUUCCGCAAUGGGCGAAAGCCUGACGGAGCAACGCCGCGUGAGUGAUGAAGGUCUUCGGAUCGUAAAACUCUGUUAUUAGGGAAGAACAAAUGUGUAAGUAACUAUGCACGUCUUGACGGUACCUAAUCAGAAAGCCACGGCUAACUACGUGCCAGCAGCCGCGGUAAUACGUAGGUGGCAAGCGUUAUCCGGAAUUAUUGGGCGUAAAGCGCGCGUAGGCGGUUUUUUAAGUCUGAUGUGAAAGCCCACGGCUCAACCGUGGAGGGUCAUUGGAAACUGGAAAACUUGAGUGCAGAAGAGGAAAGUGGAAUUCCAUGUGUAGCGGUGAAAUGCGCAGAGAUAUGGAGGAACACCAGUGGCGAUGGCGACUUUCUGGUCUGUAACUGACGCUGAUGUGCGAAAGCGUGGGGAUCAAACAGG
rnacentral:rRNA from 1 species